rnacentral:rRNA from 1 species
UCCUUCGACGUUAGCGGCGGACGGGUGAGUAACACGUGGGCAACCUACCUUAUAGUUUGGGAUAACUCCGGGAAACCGGGGCUAAUACCGAAUAAUCUGUUUCACCUCAUGGUGAAACACUGAAAGACGGUUUCGGCUGUCGCUAUAGGAUGGGCCCGCGGCGCAUUAGCUAGUUGGUGAGGUAACGGCUCACCAAGGCGACGAUGCGUAGCCGACCUGAGAGGGUGAUCGGCCACACUGGGACUGAGACACGGCCCAGACUCCUACGGGAGGCAGCAGUAGGGAAUCUUCCACAAUGGGCGAAAGCCUGAUGGAGCAACGCCGCGUGAGUGAAGAAGGAUUUCGGUUCGUAAAACUCUGUUGUAAGGGAAGAACAAGUACAGUAGUAACUGGCUGUACCUUGACGGUACCUUAUUAGAAAGCCACGGCUAACUACGUGCCAGCAGCCGCGGUAAUACGUAGGUGGCAAGCGUUGUCCGGAAUUAUUGGGCGUAAAGCGCGCGCAGGUGGUUUCUUAAGUCUGAUGUGAAAGCCCACGGCUCAACCGU